GAUGAACGCUGGCGGCGUGCCUAAUACAUGCAAGUCGAGCGAACAGACGAGGAGCUUGCUCCUCUGACGUUAGCGGCGGACGGGUGAGUAACACGUGGAUAACCUACCUAUAAGACUGGGAUAACUUCGGGAAACCGGAGCUAAUACCGGAUAAUAUAUUGAACCGCAUGGUUCAAUAGUGAAAGACGGUUUUGCUGUCACUUAUAGAUGGAUCCGCGCCGCAUUAGCUAGUUGGUAAGGUAACGGCUUACCAAGGCAACGAUGCGUAGCCGACCUGAGAGGGUGAUCGGACACACCGGAACUGAGAAACGGUCCAGACUCCUACGGGAGGCAGCAGUAGGGAAUCUUCCGCAAUGGGCGAAAGCUUGACGGAGCAAAGCCGCGUGAGUGAUGAAGGUCUUCGGAUCGUAAAACGCUGUUAUUAGGGAAGAACAAAUGUGUAAGUAACUAUGCACGUCUUGACGGUACCUAAUCAGAAAGCCACGGCUAACUACGUG
rnacentral:rRNA from 1 species